AUCCAGACUCCUACGGGAGGCAGCAGUGGGGGAUAUUGCACAAUGGGGGGAACCCUGAUGCAGCGACGCCGCGUGGGUGAAGGAGCGUUUCGGCGCGUAAAGCCCUAUCGGCAGGGGAGAAGAUGACGGUACCUGACCAAGAAGCCCCGGCUAACUACGUGCCAGCAGCCGCGGUAAUACGUAGGUGGCAAGCGUUGUCCGGAAUUACUGGGUGUAAAGGGAGCGUAGGCGGGAAAGCAAGUUGAAUGUUUAAGGUACGGGCUCAACCUGUACAAGCGUUCAAAACUGUUUUUCUUGAGUGGAGUAGAGGUAAGCGGAAUUCCUAGUGUAGCGGUGAAAUGCGUAAAUAUUAGGAGGAACACCAGUGGCGAAGGCGGCUUACUGGGCUUUAACUGACGCUGAGGCUCGAAAGCGUGGGUAGCAAACAGGAUUAGAUACCCUGGUA
rnacentral:rRNA from 1 species